UUACCAUCUAGUGAUUAAAUACUACAUUUAAUUGCUAUGUACAAAAAUGCCCAUGAAAUUAUAUGUGAAAUUACCAAAAUACCCUUUUAGUGUAUUAUUAGUUAUAUUAUUUAUGGAAUUUUAAAAUCUAAAGUGAUAAACCCUAAUGGUUAUGGCCAAUGUCUAAAAUGCCCUUCAUGGUAGACAUGAGAAGUCUAAACUACCCUUGUGCAUGAUUAAAGGAAGAAAUCAAUUAUUAGAGGGGAAAUGACCAUUUUACCCUUUUUGUCCAUCUUAGUGCAUUAUUUAUGCAUUAUUGUGCUACCAAUCCCACCAAAUCCGGCCAACCACUCCAUAAUUAUCAUGUGAGCUCAAUAAUGGCAGCCAAAUCAGUAUCCAAGGCUCUUGACAUGAUCUAUAAAUAGAAAUCAAGGAGAUUAAAUGAAAUUACACACUAAAAUUAUAGCAACUCUCUAGACACACUCUCUCAAGCUCUUACCAACGAAUUUGCCUUGCCCAUAAGCUCAUAAUCAAAGCCCAGCCAUCACAAACCACAAAUCAGAAGCAUCAAGAAGCCAGAAAUCAAAAAUCAAGCUUGAAAAGGUAGGAAACCCUAAAUUCUAGAAAUCCUUUGAUUCUAUGUUAAUUGGUGAAAUUGAUUAUUUAAAGUUGUGUAAUAAGGAGUAUUAAUGUUCUGGGUUGUAAAAACACAGACCCAUAACAUCAAAGUGCACGAAUUUGAAGAUUUGAGCAAGUUGGAAAAACCGAAUUCUGUGAUUUUUCACCAAAUGUCAGAGGCUAUAACUCUUUGGUCGAUCAUGAUUUUUGUUGUUUAAAAGUUGUUUUGUGUAUCGUGUUAUGUGGUCUUUAAUCUCCAAAAGGAAUCAAGUUCAUAGAUAUUGUAGAUCGGGAUUUAUAAGCGGUCAAACUUGGUUGACCGGCAUUGACCGGCUGUUCUUCAAACCCAGAAAAUAUUCUAAGUGUCCAGAAAAUAUUUUUUUGGCAAAUGUCAGGCCUUAU
rnacentral:lncRNA from 1 species